rnacentral:rRNA from 1 species
CCUACGGGCGGCUGCAGUGGGGAAUAUUGGACAAUGGGGGCAACCCUGAUCCAGCCAUGCCGCGUGUGUGAAGAAGGCCCUCGGGUUGUAAAGCACUUUCAGUGAGGAAGAACGCCUGGUGGUUAAUACCCAUCAGGAAAGACGUCACUCACAGAAGAAGCACCGGCUAACUCCGUGCCAGCAGCCGCGGUAAUACGGAGGGUGCGAGCGUUAAUCGGAAUUACUGGGCGUAAAGCGCGCGUAGGUGGCUUGAUAAGCCGGUUGUGAAAGCCCCGGGCUCAACCUGGGAACGGCAUCCGGAACUGUCAAGCUAGAGUGCAGGAGAGGAAGGUAGAAUUCCCGGUGUAGCGGUGAAAUGCGUAGAGAUCGGGAGGAAUACCAGUGGCGAAGGCGGCCUUCUGGACUGACACUGACACUGAGGUGCGAAAGCGUGGGUAGCAAACAGGAUUAGAUACCCUAGUAGUC